AGGACGAACGCUGGCGGCGUGCUUAACACAUGCAAGUCGAGCGGAAAGGCCCUUCGGGGUACUCGAGCGGCGAACGGGUGAGUAACACGUGAGUAAUCUGCCCCUAGCUCUGGGAUAGCUCCGGGAAACCGGGAUUAAUACCGGAUACGACUCCUUCAGACAUCCGAAGGAGUGGAAAGAUUUAUCGGCUAGGGAUGAGCUCGCGGCCUAUCAGCUUGUUGGUGGGGUAACGGCCUACCAAGGCGACGACGGGUAGCCGGCCUGAGAGGGCGACCGGCCACACUGGGACUGAGACACGGCCCAGACUCCUACGGGAGGCAGCGGUGGGGAAUAUUGCGCAAUGGGCGAAAGCCUGACGCAGCGACGCCGCGUGGGGGAUGAAGGCCUUCGGGUUGUAAACCCCUUUCAGCAGGGACGAAGCGAAAGUGACGGUACCUGCAGAAGAAGCGCCGGCUAACUACGUGCCAGCAGCCGCGGUAACACGUAGGGCGCAAGCGUUGUCCGGAAUUAUUGGGCGUAAAGAGCUCGUAGGCGGUCUGUUGCGUCCGCUGUGAAAACUCGGGGCUUAACCCCGAGCCUGCAGUGGAUACGGGCAGACUAGAGGUAGGUAGGGGAGAAUGGAAUUCCCGGUGUAGCGGUGAAAUGCGCAGAUAUCGGGAGGAACACCGGUGGCGAAGGCGGUUCUCUGGGCCUUACCUGACGCUGAGGAGCGAAAGCGUGGGGGAGCAAACAGGAUUAGAUACCCUGGUAGUCCACGCCGUAAACGUUGGGCGCUAGGUGUGGGAUCCUUCCACGGAUUCCGUGCCGCAGCUAACGCAUUAAGCGCCCCGCCUGGGGAGUACGGCCGCAAGGCUAAA
rnacentral:rRNA from 1 species